rnacentral:rRNA from 1 species
AGAGUUUGAUCCUGGCUCAGGACGAACGCUGGCGGCGUGCUUAACACAUGCAAGUCACGGGGGCCCGCAAGGGCAACCGGCGAACGGGUGCGUAACACGUGAGCAAUCUGCCGAUCUGCGGGGGAUAGCCGGCCCAACGGCCGGGUAAUACCGCAUACGCUCAUCGAGGGGAGUCCCUUGGUGAGGAAACCUCCGGGGCGGAUCGAGGAGCUCGCGACCUAUCAGCUAGUUGGCGGGGUAAUGGCCCACCAAGGCAGCGACGGGUAGCUGGUCUGAGAGGAUGGCCAGCCACAUUGGGACUGCGACACGGCCCAGACUCCUACGGGAGGCAGCAGUGGGGAAUAUUGCGCAAUGGACGAAAGUCUGACGCAGCGACGCCGCGUGUGGGAUGAAGCUCUUCGGGGUGUAAACCACUGUUGCCCGGGACGAAACUCCUUUUUCGAGAGGAUUGACGGUACCGGGUGAGGAAGCACCGGCUAACUCUGUGCCAGCAGCCGCGGUAAUACAGAGGGUGCGAGCGUUGUCCGGAAUCACUGGGCGUAAAGGGCGCGUAGGUGGCGGGAUAAGCGUGCGGUGAAAGCCCGGGGCUCAACUCCGGGUCUGCCGUGCGGACUGUCUUGCUCGAGCGUAGUAGAGGCAGGUGGAAUUCCGGGUGUAGCGGUGGAAUGCGUAGAGAUCCGGAAGAACACCGGUGGCGAAGGCGGCCUGCUGGGCUACUGCUGACACUGAGGCGCGACAGCGUGGGGAGCAAACAGGAUUAGAUACCCUGGUAGUCCACGCCGUAAACGAUGGGUACUAGGUGUCUGGGGGAGCGACCCCCUGGGUGCCGGCGCUAACGCAUGAAGUACCCCGCCUGGGGAGUACGGCCGCAAGGCUGAAACUCAAAGGAAUUGACGG